GUGCGGGACCGGGCCCCUCUGACGGUGCGCACAGCGCGUGCCGCCAUGUCGGACCGCAACG
rfam:Rubellimicrobium thermophilum DSM 16684 genomic scaffold R1_scaffold4, whole genome shotgun sequence.